AGUAUACUCACCCCCAGUUUCUUACUCCGUAUCCUCACGUAUCCCUGCUUGACUAUGUCGUUGAAGUUGGAAGCCAUGGUGAGAGAGAGAGGAGGGGAAGCGGGAAGCUUCCAAAGCCGAAAGGCUUGGUCCGCAGCAGGAGGAGGAAGAGCGAUGAGCGGUGCGCAGCCUGCUCCGGUGUCAGCUAGCGCUCACAGGCUGCCCGGCUUCAGCGGCGCGAUCCAUCCGGGAGAGGAGGGAGAUACCAUUCAGUCAGCUGAUCACCGGAGCCGGAGAGAGCGGAGCGGAGCAGCGGCGCUUCCUGGACCACACCAUCCCCACAGCAGCGAGGGGUGGUGGAGGAGAAAGAGGAGGAGGGAGGCGCCGUUUUUAUUUAUUAUAUUAAAUCAAACACAUAUGCUGGCACUAAUUAUACAUGUAUAUGUGUAUUCAUGCUGCCCUUGAAGCUAUUCCACUUACAUAUUUGUGUCCAUGGAUCAGAGGAGUUUUAGCAACAUAAAAGAGACCAACACAAUAUUAGGAGGUCAUAACGUUAUGCACAAAACAUUAGAUAAAACAAUAAAGGCAAUAAAACAUCAGUGAAUAUAUUGUAACCUUAAAAGACCAAUAACCAAACAUUAGUGAAAGAAUAAAAUGUUAUUGAAGU